rnacentral:ncRNA from 1 species
UCCGAAGUUUCCCUCAGGAUAGCUGGAGCUCGGGACGAGUUCUAUCGGGUAAAGCCAAUGAUUAGAGGCAUCGGGGGCGCAACGCCCUCGACCUAUUCUCAAACUUUAAAUAGGUAGGACGGCACGGCUGCUUCGUUGAGCCGGGCCACGGAAUCGAGAGCUCCAAGUGGGCCAUUUUUGGUAAGCAGAACUGGUGAUGCGGGAUGAACCGGAAGCCGGGUUACGGUGCCCAACUGCGCGCUAACCUAGAACCCACAAAGGGUGUUGGUCGAUUAAGACAGCAGGACGGUGGUCAUGGAAGUCGAAAUCCGAUAAGGAGUGCGUAACAACUCACCUGCCGAAUCAACUAGCCCCGAAAAUGGAUGGCGCUUAAGCGCGCGA